GCUGGCGGCGUGCCUAACACAUGCAAGUCGAACGUGAAAGCCCUUUCGGGGGCAAGUAAAGUGGCGUCCGGGUGAGUAACACGUAGGUAAUCUACCUCUGGGUGGGGAAUAACUCGCCGAAAGGCGAGCUAAUACCGCAUAAUGCAGCGGCACCUAAUGGUGAAUGGUUGUUAAAGCGGGGGAUCGUAAGACCUCGCGCUUGGAGAGGAGCCUGCGGCAGAUUAGCUAGUUGGUGAGGUAAUGGCUCACCAAGGCUUCGAUCUGUAGCUGGUCUGAGAGGACGGCCAGCCACACUGGCACUGAUACACGGGCCAGACUCCUACGGGAGGCAGCAGUGGGGAAUUUUGGGCAAUGGGCGCAAGCCUGACCCAGCAACGCCGCGUGAGGGAGGAAAUCCUUCGGGAUGUAAACCUCACAAGCAAGGGAAGAGCGCUCGCGAUCAAAUAAAUCGCGAGUUCGACGGUACCUUGCGUAAGCCACGGCUAACUACUGUGCCAGCAGCCGCGGUAAUAC
rnacentral:rRNA from 1 species